rnacentral:sRNA from 1 species
GGAAAUUUUAAUAUAUUACAAAAAUCGUUAAUAUUUUACAAAAGUCAUUAUUUAGAAGUUAUAUGUUCGACAUUCGGCACCAAAUACUGCAAACAGUCGUCGAAAAUUAUGCCUCCCUGCUGGUCCCCACAUUAUACUGGUGUAGCAAUUUCGCAAGGUGGCAGAAAAAAUUGCUAAGUACACAAAUGAAUAUUAAGCAACAUUUUGCCAUAAUUUGCCCUGGCGUGGCCAAGUUUUCUUCUUUCAAACGCUUUGCUCAACAACAUGUUUACAAACAAUGCGGGGCCAACAGGCAGCCAGGGAAAGAGAGUUUCGCAGGUCUAGGCGACUUAGCAAACUUCACUUUGGUUAAUUAUGGAGAAUAUCAACAUCUUGAAAAAUUAAUUAAUUAAAAGCUCUGCAAAGCGCAGUACAGAGCAGGCCAAGUAACAUCCAAAGAAUUACAAGGGAUACGGAUAACAUUUAAACGGAUGUUACGAAGAAACCAUUCAACAUAUUAACAACAUUAAAGCGAGGCUAAUUGUUGCCCAACAAGAGCAGGAGCAGCAGGAAAAAACCAAAUGUAA